CUACCUGGGCUGGCUUUGAACUGCAAUCCUCAGACCUCAGCCUCCUGAGUAGCUAGGAUUACAGGUGUGAGCCACUGAGCAUCCUGACCCUCUACCUUCUGAAAGAUUCAAAUUUUGCCUUGCUCUGGUGAAUGACUAGAAAUUACAGAAGG